GAUGAACGCUGGCGGCGUGCCUAAUACAUGCAAGUCGAGCGAACAGAUAAGGAGCUUGCUCCUUUGACGUUAGCGGCGGACGGGUGAGUUACACGUGGAUAACCUACCUAUAAGACUGGGAUAACUUCGGGAAACCGGAGCUAAUACCGGAUAACAUAUUGAACCGCAUGGUUCAAUAGUGAAAGGCGGCUUUGCUGUCACUUAUAGAUGGAUCCGCGCCGUAUUAGCUAGUUGGUAAGGUAACGGCUUACCAAGGCAACGAUGCGUAGCCGACCUGAGAGGGUGAUCGGCCACACUGGAACUGAGACACGGUCCAGACUCCUACGGGAGGCAGCAGUAGGGAAUCUUCCGCAAUGGGCGAAAGCCUGACGGAGCAACGCCGCGUGAGUGAUGAAGGUCUUCGGAUCGUAAAACUCUGUUAUCAGGGAAGAACAAAUGUGUAAGUAACUGUGCACAUCUUGACGGUACCUAAUCAGAAAGCCACGGCUAACUACGUG
rnacentral:rRNA from 1 species